rnacentral:rRNA from 1 species
UGGGGAAUAUUGCACAAUGGGCGAAAGCCUGAUGCAGCAACGCCGCGUGAGGGACGACGGGCCUUACGGGUUGUAAACCUUCUUUUAGCAAGGAAGAAGCGAAAAGUGACGGUACUUGCAGAAAAACGCGCCGGCUAACUACGUGCCAGCAGCCGCGGUAAUACGUAGGGCGCAAGCGUUAUCCGGAAUUAUUGGGCGUAAAGAGCUCGUAGGCGGUUUGUCGCGUCUGCUGUGAAAACCCGAGGCUCAACCUCGGGCCUGCAGUGGGUACGGGCAGACUAGAGUGCGGUAGGGGAGAUUGGAACUCCUGGUGUAGCGGUGGAAUGCGCAGAUAUCAGGAAGAACACCGAUGGCGAAGGCAGAUCUCUGGGCCGUAACUGACGCUGAGGAGCGAAAA